GUCUGUCUCUGACGAUACCUGGUCACAUGCUUUCUUUGCUGAUGACCAUUGUGAUGGGUUCCGUAGAGGUGGGAGCAGCAGCUAAAGACAAGAGCAUUUAUGAGAAGCAUUGACUUAAGAGAUGCCAAGUAACUCAGCAGAUGUCACACAGACGAUAAAUAGCAAAGAUGGAAGUCUUCAUGCCGGAGGCAAUCCUAUAAGACAGCUGAGUUCUCCAGAGCUGGUAGGAGACAGACUUGCUCAGGUGAUAGAUCCAGCCAUGAUACUGACCCUAAGAGAAUGAGACACUCUGCAGAAGACUUAGAAGAUUCCUGAGACUGGGAAAGGUGCCUAGAAAUCCUGAGAAGAGUGAAGAAGGGUACCUGGAGGCACAGCAGCCGUGUUGAACCUAUGAGGUGAUGAAAAACCAUGCAACUAGAAACCAGAAUGGAAGAAAAGAAGAAGCUGGAUCCUUGACUGAAUCAUAGAUGGGGGAUAGUCCAUCAUCCCAGGGCUAAGACCACCUCCAGAUUUCUUGUUUGGUGAAACAAUUCCUGAUUGUUUACAUUUCUUUAUGUUGAGCUGUCUCUUACUUGUAGCUGAAAGCAUUUCUAAUAGAUAUUCAGAUUAUCAGCCUUAGCUCCAAGCUAGAAUACUCUAUGGGACCUUAGCUUCUCCAUGAAUUCUUUUGCUCAUCUGUGUAGUGCUCAAUAAAUGUAAAUUGAACCCUGAAUGAGGGACAAUGACACUAUUGAAGUCAUGAUUGUCAAUCUUAUUAACUGACUAAAUACUUAACAAAAAGGUUGGAACACUGCCUGAUGCACAGUAAGCGGCUGUGGAAAGGGUUUGCCAAAUGGAGUGAGAAGAAAACAGUCAUGUUUAUAGGCUUUCUUUUACAUCUUGAUCCAUCUUCAAGCCUCUGUGGUCUUUAAGCAGAACCUUGACCCCUUCAGUACUGGGGCUCAUGGAGCAUGAAACGCCCCCUAAACUCUUGUCUCAAAACACCCACUCUAGCAGUUUCUUUUUGACAAAAAAGCCUUCUCAGUGAAUGCUGGCUUGUGAAAAAGAAGGGGCUGUGAUCACCACAGCCCCUUAGUAGGUGACCAAAAUACCCAAAGCAAUUCAUGCAAAUAGAUUCAAGUCUCUCUGGGCAAGCCUUCCUGAAGGCUCUAGAAUUUUUGAAGCUCAUUUUUGAAUGGGUCUUUCCAUCUGGUGGCCUUUUUUCUUUUUCUUUCUUGCACCUCCUCCCUUCUUUCUUGUCAGAGCUAGAGGGAUGGGAAGAUGAUUUGUGCUCGGACUCUCUGUCCUUUCUCUGGAGGGAGGGACCAGGCUGCUGGGCAUGUGUGAAGGAGCGAGUGUGAUUUGGGAUAUUACUUUCUGUUAUCGCAAUGGCCAGCCUUUAGAGAGGUCAUUUGAAGUUGACCAACAAGUAGGCAUUAUUUCAAAAUAGUUCUUGACCAUGGUAUUAAAGAACCAACCAGUAUGUGUGCCCAUCUUAAAAACAAACAAACAAACCAAUCUCACUUUUGGAAAGUUCCUGCUGAAUGUGUGCCCUUCUGUCUCACUUCUUAUCCUUUUUGGCAGAAACAGCCCAGAAAAGGGGGCCUUGCCUUUGAACCACUCUGCUACUUCAACCUUCCUGCUUCUGUCUGACCUACCUUCCUUCAUCAGCAGCCAGGAUCCUUUCAAAGUGAGCACCUAAAGGUGGGAAUUCUCCAGCCACAAGUGCCCUCUGAAAUUCUAUCUUACUUAGAAUAAAAUCUCUAGAUUUAUACAGUGCCCCCUGCAUGGGUGGUGGCUUAUUUUUUUCUGUCACUUUCCUGCUUGUUCACACCACUCUCUCCCUGGCCUUCUUAUGUCACAGAUUCCCUGAGUACACUCUGGCCUCAAUCUUUCCAUGAAGUAACUCUCCUUUCUAGAACAUUCUUGCUUGCAUAACUAUCUGCUUCUGUCCUCACUGUAUUCUGAUCUGUACUUCAAUGUCAAUUUCCAGACAGGCAUUCUCUGCCCAUCCUCUAAAGUGUGCCCCCUGUUUUCUUUGCUGUUAUCUGUUUAUCCUAAGUCUAAGUCACUGACCUUAUUGUAGACCAAAUCUGUUAGUAUUUCUCUCCAGGAUGCAAGCCUAGUGAUGAAGGAGUCAUUGUUCCAUUGUCAGAAUAGCUACAGAAUCCAGGCUGUUCUGCCCUGAAUGCUUUACUAAGUAAUGAAGCUCAAUAAAACAAUUUGACCAA
ensembl:lincRNA Pvt1 Pvt1 oncogene